UACGAAGGGGGCUAGCGUUGCUCGGAAUCACUGGGCGUAAAGGGUGCGUAGGCGGGUCUUUAAGUCAGAGGUGAAAUCCUGGAGCUCAACUCCAGAACUGCCUUUGAUACUGAGGAUCUUGAGUACGGGAGAGGUGAGUGGAACUGCGAGUGUAGAGGUGAAAUUCGUAGAUAUUCGCAAGAACACCAGUGGCGAAGGCGGCUCACUGGCCCGUUACUGACGCUGAGGCACGAAAGCGUGGGGAGCAACAGGG
rnacentral:rRNA from 1 species